UUCACAUUUGUUUUUACUUUCCCCUUCCUCGGUAAGUCAAGUCAUUUUAUUUUCGUUGUUUUCUUUACUUUUACUUUUUCUCUCUGUCUGCGCAAGACCCGAUCCAUCUUCCUCCUCCGCAGGCAAUCCUACACCUUACCCAUCCCCUGCCUCGCGUUCUCUCCACCACUACCUCUCCUUUCUCCGCUCUGAUCCUACACGUUUGCUAAGCAGGAAUCAUGUAUAAGAAUCAGGCGCAACCUCAGCCGCAGCCGCAGCCGCAGCCACAGGCGCAGCCACAGGAACCCUCUGCUGUCGCUGGUGCAAUGGGCGGCUACGGCAGCUAUCAGCAGCAGAACCGCCAGUACGGCGGCGGCAACCGUGGCUUCAACGAUGCUCAAGGCACCUACGGAGGCGGCUUCAAUCGCAACGGCGGCGGUGGCGGCUUCCGCGGCGGCUUUGGGGGCUUCGGCGGUGGCGCGCGAGGCCCGCCGCGCGAGUUCGUCGGCAACAAUCACUAUCACCGCGAAGAGAAGUCCGAGGAGGAGAUCUUCAAGGAGCACACUCCGGGUAUCAACUUCGACCAGUACGAGGCGAUUAAGGUGUCCAUCACUCCAAAUGACGUGGAGCCGGCGGAGUCCUUUGCCACGAUGGCGCUCGCCCCGGCGCUGGCGGAGAACGUGAACCGCUGCCGCUACCAGAAGCCAACGCCGGUGCAGAAGUACGGCAUCCCGUGCGUGCUGAACGGCAGCGAUCUGAUGGCAUGUGCCCAGACUGGCUCCGGUAAGACUGCUGCUUACCUCAUCCCGGCCAUCAACUUCAUGCUGGUCAACAACCUCAACCGCGCCAAGCCCACGAACAGCCAGUCCGCCCCGUCCGCGCUGGUGCUGUCACCGACGCGCGAGCUGUCCAUUCAGAUUUACGAGGAGGGCCGCAAGUUCACGUACCGCACCGGUAUUCGCUGCGUUGUCGUGUACGGCGGGGCGGACCCGCGCCACCAGAUCCACGAGCUGACCCGCGGAUGUGGUUUGCUGGUGGCGACGCCGGGUCGUCUGUCUGACAUGUUCACCCGCGGCUACACCCGCUACUCGGACGUCCGCUUCCUCGUACUCGAUGAGGCUGACCGCAUGCUCGAUAUGGGCUUUGAGCCGCAGAUUCGCGCGAUCGUCCAGGGCCCGGACAGCGACAUGCCACCGCCGGGUGAGCGCCAGACGCUGCUGUACUCAGCCACCUUCCCGAAGGAGAUUCAGCAGAUGGCCCGUGAAUUUCUGUACCACCACCACUUCCUGCAGGUCGGCCGUGUGGGCUCGACCACCGAGAACAUCACCCAGGAUGUGCGCUGGGUCGAAGACAUGGACAAGCGCGGCUGCCUGCUGGAGGUGCUAAAGGAGCACCAGGGCGAGCGUGUCCUCGUGUUCGUGGAGAAGAAGCGCGAUGCUGACUACCUGGAGCGCUACCUGCGUCAGAGCCGCAUCCCCUGCUCCUCCAUCCACGGCGACCGCGUGCAGCGCGAGCGUGAGGAGGCUCUCGACAUCUUCAAGAGUGGUGUGUGCCGCGUGCUGGUCGCAACCGACGUCGCCUCGCGUGGUCUGGACAUCCCCAACGUCGCGGUGGUGGUCCAGUACGACCUGCCCAGCAACAUCGAUGACUAUGUGCACCGCAUCGGCCGUACGGGUCGUGCCGGCAAGCGCGGUACGGCAAUCUCCUUCUUCAACGACAAGAACCGCAACAUCGUCGAUGACCUGAUCCCGCUUCUGCGCGAAACGAACCAAACGGUGCUGCCAGAGGUGCAGGCACUGGCCAAGAAGCCCAACGUGCAGAACCAGCCUCGCGGUCGCGGCCGUGGUGGCUUCCGCAGUGGUGGCUUCGGCGGCGGUUUCGGUGGCGGCUACGGUGGUGGCUACGGCGGUCGCGGCGGAUACCGCGGUGGCGGCGGCUUUGGUGGCGGCUACGGCGGCGGCUACGGUGGUGGCUACGGCGGCAACAACGGCGGCUACCGUCCCCGCGGCGGCUACGGCGGCGGUGGCUACGGCGGUGGCUACGGCGGUGACCGCAACAUGCGAUCUGACGUCUUUGGUCAGUAGAUGGAGUAGUAAAACUCCGUGUAGCUCUGAUGAGGGCGGCGUAAGGCAGGAUGGGCCACGUUCGCAGGCGAGAGAAAUGGCACUGUGCAGUCCCGUUUGCUCGCACGGUACCGCUACCACUUCUCUUCUCUCUUCCCUCUGUCUCCCGCGUAUCUUCCUCAUGCAACAAAGAACCACACCAGUAGGCUUCGUCUUUUCGUCGAUUAUACCUCCUUCUCCCCCUCCUGUGAGGUGCCUCCCCCCUCUCUUCCUCAGCGAGGCAAGCGAGACGCGCUGGCGUGAGAAGGGGAUGACGAACAGGAGGAAGGAAGAGAGGACGGGGCGGCUGGCUGGAGAGAUACAUCCGCGUCGGUGGCGCUGAUGCUGGCAACGAUAAAAAAAAUAAAGAACGAGAGUGAAAUAAUGAGGAGGCAUCGCCACAGACACUCCAGUAUGUGUGCUACUCAAACGCAGCCGUGCACCUCUCUCUCUGGGGUGCACCAGAGUGCGCACGCUCACACACGCUUUUCUCUGUCUCUGUCUCUGUCUCUCUCUGUCUUUCAGGUUCGUGAUGGUCAACGCCAAAUUGCCUGCAGAGCGAGAGAGGGAGGAAGAGAGACGUGAAUGAGAGAUCCCAGCGUGAAACGGAGAGAGCACGAGAGAAAAAAGUUGAGGCAGGGAGAAUUAGACACGUACACACACACACACGAAAAACAAAAUGACGCUAAACGCGAGAAGCACACAUCAUUUUCUAUUGAUUGUGAGAGAGAGAAAGCGAAGUGGGCAGGAGGGAGCACGCUUCGCUGUUGUCGCGAAGAGGAGGUGAGUGGGGUGAGGUUUGGGGGAGGGUGAGGAAGCAAGCGGAUGCAAGACCGAUAAAGCGGAAAGUUGUGUUGCUUCUUCUCCAUCUGCUUCCUCGUCUGACGGUGGUGCCUAUGCUCUUCCUCUCCUCCCCUCCCUCACCCUCUUUUCUGUUAACUAUGGUUGGCUUGAGCUACUCGAUGAACAGCAUCAUAUUCGAUUCGCUAUAUGCAUUGCUCUGUUUUUUUUUCUUUUCCUCGGAGGAAGACCCGCCGUACCUCACAAGACGCCUCUUAUCUCCCUAUGCUUGACUGUUGUGACGGGUGCUGCAAACCGCUCUCACAAGAGGGUGUAAAGCGCGCAUGAAGGACAGGGCGACUUGUACACGAAAGCAGAGGAAAACGGGGGAACGCCGUCAAUGAACGUCAUGAAAAUCGAUGAAGCGGAGGGAGCAAUGCAAAAAAAAGAAAGCCAAAGAGGGGCACUCCAAAUAAAGGAAAAAAAGGACGAAGGUGGAUUCUCAAACUCACGCUGAAGCGAGUAGAGUCUCUAGAGAGAUCGGUUUACCUCUGUGAUGCUGCGAUGAUUGUGUGUUUGUUGUUUCGUCGCCGCAUGACAGCCCUCUGCAUCACUCUCGAGCGAACUUGUGUGUUUGUUUCUCUCUCUGUGUGCUCUCUUCGUCUCUUUUUCUUUUGUUCUUUUUAUUUUUCGUUCGUCUCUCCGCCCCUGCACGACGGCCGUGGUUUGGUGUAUGUGUGGGUGUCUCUCUUUUCUUUCUACCUCCGUUCACCUCUCUCGCUCCCCCGUUUCUCUCCUUUUUUGUUCUUCUUAACGUUCCCCAAGUGCGCUCCUCCAUGUGUGGGCCCUUUUAUCAUUGUUAUAUCCUCAUACCUCCCCUCCUUUGCGUCAAGCCUUGCGCGCAACUUCACACACAUUCAUAUCCGGCAUGUGCGUGCGUGUUUGUGCAGUAUUCCUUCUUUGUGGCUCACGAUCAUACAUUUUUACACUCAGGCUCUCAUCGUGCCUUCUCUCUCUCUCUCGCUAUCUUUGCCUUUUCUUGAAUUUCCGGCGGUUAUGUGGCUUCUCUGCGUGUGUGUGCGCUUGUGUGGUUGGACGUGCUCGUUCUCCAAUGCGCCCUCGCCUUCAUUUUGUCUUUUCUCGGGCUCCGCGUGCCAUUUUAGUUUUGCUCGCCUUCUCGUGUGUUCUCCCACGACGAUUUCACCCCAAAUGGUUGUCUGCCCCCUCCCCCCGUUUUCGCGUCUUCUUCCUCGUUUCGUUUUGCGCGCUUUCGCUUUCGUUUUCUCCGUUGCUCCUCCUCCGUUCCCCACUGUGGCGUUUUCCCAUCGCCCCCGCCAGGCACAGACACACACACUCUCGUGUAUGUGUAGGUGUGUGUAGCGCGCUGCUUGCGAGAGGAAACGAAGCAGAGGACGAGUGAGAGAGGAUGUGUGAAGUGGGACUGCUGAAAGAGAGAGAGCAGAAUAAGGACACACCGACUCACCUGUUUGUGCGGGCACAGCAGGCGCGAUGCCGAGGUUACAGUGGCCAUUCGUGUACUCUUUCGCGUCUUUUCGUUUUUGCCGUGGAUGAUGCGCACCGGCUCUUCAAUUUUGUGUGCGCAGGGCAGGAAAAAAGGAAGGGCCUGAUAUCAAGGGCGUUGGUGUGAGGGGAUUAGUGGCGGCUGGUGGUGAAGUGUUUGUGAGACUGAACACAAGAGAGACGCGGCGAAGGAGGCAGUCAGGGGGAACAUAAGCGAAGGGAAAGCCAAAUGAAGAGGGACGCAGAAGUGACCCAUCGAAUCAAGAUGAAAGCACCCCAUUAUAUGCCGAUAUGCGCACUCGCACACACACUUACGCGUGAAGCCUCUGCGUCUCAUUUUUUUUUUCUUUCCCUGCGCCUCUUUCUCGCUUCAUGCCCUCUUUUUCACUUGCAGCUUCCUCCUCCUGCCUCACGCCUUGAACUCUCCUCGAUGACGGCGCCUUCUUUUUUUUUCUUUGCUCCUCCCUUUAUGUGCUUUUGUGUGUGUAGCGGUCUCUUUUGUUCUGGCUCUCUGCAUCUCUCCCCCUUCCUUCUGCCUCCUAGUGGACGUCUGUAGGAAGGAGCAACGAAGGAAAAGAAAAGCAGUAAAGGAAAUGAAGUUACCCGAACCAGCGAUGCGCUCUCUCAGGCACCUACACACCCACCCGCUCUCACGCAUCACAAGAGAGCCUGGAGAGCCCCUUCCUCCUCCCCCUCUCCCUUCCCCUUCCCCUCCCCCUUUUCCCUCCCCUCCCUCGAGAGGGAAACACCAAAGAAAAGAUAGCAAAAGAUAGUGAUGUAUACAUGAUGAGGCACAAAGAUGAAAUAAAUCCUCCAAUGCCCCCUCCCCUCCCUCCCCCCGUGUGUCUGUGUGCGUGUCUUCUUCUUGCUUUUGUCCGUUGCUGUGGUUCCUCUUUUGUUUCCAUUUUAUGUUCUUGUUUGUUUGCUCUUCUCACCCUUCGCUUCACUAUUUUUGUGAUUUGGUGGUGUGGUGCUCUCUCUGGCUUUUCGUUAUGUUGUCUUUACGGUGUUUCUCUUUCGUUUCUUUUCUUUCUUUUGGUGUGCGCGUGUGUGUAAGUCGACAUCCCAGCGUAUACUUGGGUCACUCACUUGAACCUUGUUCGACCCCAUCUUUCCUUUGCUCUCUUCUACUCCUUGACUACCUUCGUUGCCACCACCACCCUUUUUUUUAGGUAUGCUGGAGUGAAGAGGCGUGUUUUAUCGCCUCCGUCGCACUCCCAUUUAUGUUGUUUUCUGUGUUGCUCGCACGUAUUGUGUGGCCCCCUUUUUGUCUCGUUUCGCCAUUUCUCUAUGCCUGUUCUUUCCCUCCCUCAUUUGAUUGCUUCGUCAGUCUUGAACUUUUUCGCUCGUGUUUGUUUGUUUUCCUUCUACUUUCUGCGCUCUUCGGUUUUGGCUACAGCGCGCGUGUGUGCGUGUGUGUACGUAAUCUUGCGUGUGUACGUGUAUAUGAGUCGGUCCGUGCAUAUAUAUAUAUAUAUAUAUAUAUAUGCAUAUAUGUGCGUGGUGCGUGGUGCGUGGUGCGUGUGCGUGUGUGUGUGUGUAUCACCGUCAUUUAUUCCCCUGCUUCUGUUUUUUUUUUUGCUCUUUCGUCGUACCAUUCCCUCUUUCACCCUUCCCCGCAGCUCCCUCUCUCACGAACUCACUUCUCUCUUCCGUCUGCAGAUUUUCUGAGCGCACACUGUGCAUCUUCUCUAGUGGCCUGCUGUGCUUGUCAAGUUGUUGCUGUGCGCGCGUUUCUGUGGGUCUGGGUGAUGAUUGCCUCUUUACUCACCACCCCUGCUCUGGUCUCUGGUCACAUCAAAAGACGGACUCGCUUGCGCACCCCAUCUCUGCGUGUAUUUCGAGCUCUAACCAUCACGCAUCUUGCCCGCCUACUGUGGAGCUUCUUCUCUUGCACGCCUUCGCCAGCUAGCCUUCACAUCUCUAAGUGUUUGGUUCCUUUGUCUAUUGGGUCACUGCAUCAUGCGCGCUGCACUGCCAUUGCUGGAAGCACAAGCGCGGUGUGUAGCAGCGCACCUUCACUGCGCGAGAGAGAGCCAUCAGCGUUCCCACUAUGGAGGCACUGCAGCUGACGCGAUUUGCUGCAAGCACGGGGCAAGUGAGGACGUCGAGAGGUUCUGUGGUGUGUGUGUGUGUGUAUGCGUUUUUUUUUUCUCUUCUGGCGCGUGCUCCGCUCUGUGUGUCUUUCUAUGUUUUAGCGCGUCGCGCCUCGCUGUUCGUUCAAUGCUGCUGUUUCUUCGGAGCGUACGGCAAACACAAACGAGGAAGAGCGGAGUAUCCAACGGCGCACGCCCACACACUCACACGUACGCGAAAUUACCCGGCGUGACACGCACGACAGGUCUGCACGGACAGCGUUUUUUUUUUUCUCCCGUGCUCGAGAGAGAGAGGGCCGCUUUGAUGUGGAGCGAAGAAAGGGGUGCUUGAAAGACGCACUUGUUUUCCUUUAUCGCUCUUCAUCUGUUUCAGCGCUUCUCGAGGUACGAGCCAGCGUACACAUCCUCCUAAGAGAAGGAAGCGGGCACAGCAGCAACUGUAAACACGCAUGCGCGCGGGGAUAUGCAUACAAUGCACACACGCACACCGACGUAAGAUUUCUUGUUCUGCCUUUUUCAGCGCGUAUAGCAUUGCGGGGAACCGAUCGGAUCGAUACGGAACCGCUCACAUGACAUUUUCUAUGUUUCCUUCCGUAGCUGAUUGCUGACGCCGCUCUUGGACAUCUCGGCACAUGCUUAUGUGUGUGUGUGUGCUUGCUUUCCGCAAUUCUCAGCCUGAAGGACACAAAAUAAGCACACGUAAACUUACGCAGACACAUCUUCACCGACGCUCUCCGCAACCCGAGAGGGGUACCCACAAUACGACAUCAUUUUAUUAUUAUUCUUGUCGCACACAUACACGCUCUAGGACAAGCGCUUUCUUGCAAGCCAACACGGAACUCUUUCGCUCAGACACGGCGAAGCACACACACACACACACACUAAAAGGCCCUCUCUCUUUUUCUUUUUUUUUCCGUGCGCCAUCUCUUCGUUUUCUUCUCGGCAUACGACAUCUUUCGUUGAAUGACAGCUACUAGCACAAGAAGAGCAGGAAAGAAUGUGAGUGAUGGUAGGGAAGGGCCUGGUGCACAUUCGGAAAAAGAAGAGCAGGGAACCCAACGAGAAUGAAUGCGCCCACGGGCGAAAGAAAAGGCCCUUCCUCAAAGAAAGAAAAGAAAGGCAAACACCAUCGAAAGCUCGUCGAGCACACGUGCACGCUCUCUGUCUCUGCCUUUUUUCUUCGUCACAAGAUGACUCACAUUCGAAUGAGCGCCACCACCGGCUCCAGGCUACUCGCUGCUUUCCCGCACUUUUUUCUUUGCUCGUCUUUGCAAUGAAGAACUCCCAGGUACUGUGGCGCGAAAAAAAGUAAAAGACAGUCACUAAAAGGUCACCCUUCGUUCAAAAUUCUUCUAUGCUGUACAGACAUCUCCCUGCUUUUCCUCUUUUUGUCGAUGAACGAAAGCGGAUGUGGGCGAGAUGCAGCGGCGGCGGUGCAGAUGGAAAGCGGAGCUUGCUCUUAUAUUUAUCGACCGGUGUACUAGUGUGUUUGUGGCUGUUUAUGCUCGAGUGUUUGUGUGUGUGCGCGCGCCUCUCGCUCGAGGGGUAUCCGAGGUCUCAUUGGCGCAGCCGAUUUCUCGAUCAAACUCACUGUGCGCUUGUUGUCUGUGUGCGACACCUGACAUGCAAACACGUUUUGCAUCGUACUCUCUCUACCUCCCCUCUCUCACUGGGCCUCGAAAGAAACAGAAGGAGAAAACACCCGAUGAAGUCGAAAACAACAAAAAAGACUUGUGCGGCUACGGAAGAGGAAAACAAUAUAUAUAUAUAUAUAUACUUAGCUGUACAUACACAUAUACAUGCAUAUACAUCUGUAUAUCUAUAUAUAUAUAGAUACGUUUAUGUAUGGUAUGUAUAUCUAUGUAUCUAUAUCAACCGCUAAUGGUGAGGCAAAGACAAAAAAGACGGGAAACAGCAACAUAGACAGAAAAGGAAAAAAAAGAAGAUUGGCCAUGAUGCUUGUGCUCCUCUCCCCACACCUUUUCCCCUUUCCUUUCUUUUUUUCUUUUUUUUUUCCGCAUCUACCCUUCUUUUUCCUUCGUUUUUGUUUCUCUCUCUUCCAUUCUUCUUCGUUGCGGGUGAAAAGGACCGAGAAGAGUAUGUACAAACCGGGCACGGGGAGAACAGGGGCACCCAAGGAAAGAAAAAAAGAGCGACACUCUACACAAUCAUGUAUGCACUUGAGCAGCACACGAUCAAUGGCCGCGCUGAAUCGACACGGACAACAUCCACCGAUGCGCAGGGGUUCUUUUUUUUUAAUGGGCUUUGAUGUGUGCGUGCGUGCCUCUCUGUGAUUUUCUUUGUGGUGUUCUGCUUGCAGGCGUGCUGAUUCGCCCCCUCCGACCUUCCCUGUUUCCUACCCGCGCCUCUCCUCAUUUUUGCUUCUCUAACACAGAAAGCACCGACAGACAAUCCAGACUCUGACGCCAACAAUUACUUUUGUUCCCCUCCCCUCAAAAAAGAUAAAAACUAUUUUCAUCUCACUUCAGUGUGUGUGUGUGUGUGUGUGUGCCUUUGGUUCAUAUUUCUCGCCUUACGCUUUUACAUUCUCUUGUUUUUAUAUGUUUGCCUAUGUUUUGUUGCUGCGCGCUUUGGUCUGUGUGUGAGCUCUUGCAUGUUUGGCGCCGUCGUGUCAACGAUUUUUUCUUGGUGUUCGUUCCGUUGUUCUGCCUACUCUACUUUCUCGUCGGCGCUCGCACGUUGUUGCUUCGUUUUUUUCUUUUAUUUUCCGUCGAUGGAUGGCAAGGAAGAGAAAGAGCGUGUAGAUGAUUCUUUGAACCACAUGAAGAGUGGAAACAAGGAAUAAUAUACAAACCGACUCACAUGCUCUCCGCACAUGCUGUGCUACCUCCGAGCCUCCGCUAUGCGCUCUCUACGUCCCGGGUAGUGAAGCCACACGCAGGCACACACACACACACACACACACACACAGAAAAAAGCAAAAAUAAAGCGAAGAGAAUAAUGCGCGCAUAUGCACGCAAUUUCGCGGGAACCAACAACGCGUUGCCCACUUUCAGGCACAGAUGAGAAAAAAGAGGGCGUGGUGGAGGGAGAGGCCUGAGUUACCCGAACUCACGCCCAUCUUCCACCCAUCUUAUAUCUUCUCUUUGUUUCUCUCUUGCGAUGGACGCUUGCACUCUGUACUCCAUGAAGCGGAAGGGGAAGAGAGAAGAGCGACGAAAACAAUCCGGCGACGAAAAAAAGAAGCGUGCCUGUGUGGCUCUUUCGUGUCUCAAGGUGUGCAUGCCUGCGUGCGCAUACGCGAAUACGUCUCUGCGUACCUGUGUGCGUGUGUGUGUCCCUCCCUACCUGAGCGCACGCAAAUGAAGGUUUGGGAAUGACACCGCUGGCAAGGGAGGAGAGGAAACACAAUUCGAUCGCCGUCCCCACACACACGGACAUUCAAGAGCAAAAAAAAGAAAAGACUGAACACGAAGAAAAAAAUCAGCAACCUCAUUUACCACUCACACACGGAAUAGAGGAACGAACCAGCUAACCAAACAAACGCACAAAAAACUAAGCUACACACAGAACAAACACACACACACACACACAAGGAUGCCGGACGCUGUCCUGUUCUUUUUUUUAACCCUUUCUUGUGUGCUGCCCGGGCUUACCUUCAGACAUGUCUCCCGCCCUCUAUCUGUCUCUAUAUAUCUUUUUUCGGUUCUCCUACUCUUUUUUUUGCUUCUGUUCCGGUUGAUGUGAUAUGUCUUCUAUUUUUUUUUUGCUUUCUUUGUGCAUCUUUUCUUUUCGGUUUUUCUUUUUUUUGGCCUCGCAUUUGUGUUUUGUGUCGAUUUCGUUUUUUUUUUUCGGUCCUCUCGCGUGCGUGUUUGUCAGUUGCUUCUCCUUUCUUUUACACGUUUUGGUAUUUUGUGCGGCGCGUGUGAGUGUGUGUGUGUGUGCGGUGCCUCGCGGGCAUCUCUGACGGUCUUUGUAGAGCAAAGGACAAGAAAGGAAGCAACAAAGAAACACGUGGAUGGAUAGUAGAAACAAAAGAUUGCUGCUGUAGCUUGACUUAUCUGUUCCCUCUCUCUGUCUGUCUGUUUUUCUUUUUCAAGGUGCUCCUCUGUCUUGUACUUCUUUUUGAAAAUGAUCUUUUUUGCCCCCCCCCCCCCCCACACACACACACACACCUCACUUGUUUUCUUUUCAAGUUGUGUCUUCUCUGGUUUGGCGUUGUUUUCGAUCUCUAUUUUGCGAUUUCGCACCCUUCCUCCAUAUCCCUCCCCUGCAGUCCGGCGUUGCCGCGCCCCUGUCCCGUCUUUCACACUUCGACUGUCACGCCCUUCCCUCUCUGUGUCUGUCUCUCUCCCUGCCUCUCUGCGUCCUCCACGAGCACACAUCUACGCUCUUCUUUUUGCUCCUCUUCUCUUCACUUGUGUUAACUCUCAGGAGGUUCAGAGUUUUUUUCUUUCGCGUCUGGUCUUUUUUCCUUGGCCUUUGUCCCCCCCCCACUUCUGCCGCCCCCUCUCUUCUUUGCGGUUUGUUGUUGUUGGCGUGCUUGGGCUUUGGGCUGCCCCCGCCUCUCUUCGCCCUCUCUCCCUGUGUUGUGUUGCGUGCUUGUGUGUCUUUCUGCCCUUUUUUGUUCAUGCGAGUGGGCUCAUGUCCCUGCUUUCCAGCACUGUCACCUUCCUGGUUGGUCUGUUCAGCGCAUCUGUCAAGCACACACACGCACACAACAUGCAACCUUUCAGUUUUCUCUUUUUUUCUCACUUUACAUCGCAGCUGAAGUAGAGACGAGCAUGCCUUUAUAAACAUAGACAUAUGCACGCACCGAGGCCGCCGAGAAUUCUCUCUUUGCCGCGUCUGACUUCUAUCUAUCUAUUCUCGCCCCCUACUUCUCUCCCUAUUCUGCUGUUCGUUAAUUCCUACGCUGUCAGUCGAAGAAAGCACGACGGAGAGAGCGCAAGAAGCGGACCAAGUGAGCCACGCUGGAGUUUGCUCAACCUGCGCAAGAGACGAGGAAGUGCGGGGUCAUACGUAAAGCUUGUUGCAUCCGCUGCGACGGCCAACGAAGGGCACCAAGAACAAGAUAAGAGAUAGAGAUAGCUGGAGUAUACCGGAGUUCGAGCGAUGCACCAAGGCAGGGCCAACUUGAAGGCAGAAAAAAAAAGGUGCCACCGAGGGCAUAUGGAAAGCAAAAAGAAAAGCGAAAGACAAAAAGGAGGUGUUUCAGCUUCUCGCCUCGCAGGCCGGGAACUGGGAAAAUAGAAAAAGCAACCAUGGCAAGACGAGGGGCUUUCUGCGUCUCGCUAGGUGAUGCAUGUGGAGGAGAACAGCGAUCCUCCACACACCCACAUACAGACACCCAUACACACGAACCCCUGCAUACACUGACACAGGCCCUCAUAGAAUAUCCUUGCUCUCUUUCAUGGGCCACUGAUUGUACACUCGCGUUGAUCGAGCUCACGAGCACAGCUGAGGUGUGCGUUUUUGUGCGUAUGUUUUCUUCGAUCUUCCUUUUGUGUUGCUGGUGUACAUAUCUGUGUGUGUGUGCAUACGCGCGCAAUGUCAGCUUUUGAUAUCCUUGCGUGCGUGCUUGCAGGAGGGAAGGGGUGGGAGGUUGAUAUGCAGGUUGCAAGAUGAACGUCGACACAGCUUUUCUUACAAGAAAAGAAUGACGGUAACCCUUUUCUGAUUGUAUUUUUCUCGGCUUCCUCGCUUGUUAGUUUCUUUUGGCUUCUCUGGCUCUCUUCCAUUCUACGCGAGUUUCUGCGCCCCUUUCUCGCUGUUCCUCUCUCCCCCGCACUUGCCAAUAGGUAAUAACGGGAAAACGAAGGCAAAUUGCGCCAGGAUCUUUACACAUCCUUGUUGUUCGUGUCAAAUUUUUUUUUUCGAUGUGUCUCUGCCCUCGCUGACGUGGUGCGGAUGACCACCGAAAGAGAGAGGGGAGGAGAGCUACAAGCGUGUAGCGGAGAGCUCUAUGCGACGAAGAGUGAGUGAAAGAGUACAAGUGAAGAGGACGAGAAGGGUGGGACAGGGUCAUCUUCUAAGUAGACGGCCCCACUAAUAUAAGAAAGCAAGGAAAGACACACACACACACACAAAAAGAUCAUUGCACGCACGUAUAAAGAGUGUGUGCGCUGACUGAAUGUUAUGUUUUGAAUUCAAUCGAGAAAAAAGCAACUCUGCGACAUGCACGUAAGGACGCACUCACACACCGCACAGCCCCCCUCCCCCUCUCUUUCCCCCUAAAUGGGCAUGCGUGUCUAUGUGUGCCAGUGCGUGUGAGGGGGGUGGGUGGGUGGGAUGGGAGCGGUGCAGGGGGUCCUCCCGCUCAUCUCUCUGCCUCUCGUAUUUACCGCCGUGCAUCAUUUCUCGCCCUUCUUGCUCCCCUCCUUCCUCCCCCCCACGUGCUGCAGCAGCCCUUGUAGUGUCAUUGUCGCUUCCUGUGCGAGGGGGUGGGGUGUGGG
rnacentral:misc_RNA from 1 species